AUUGAACGCUGGCGGCAGGCCUAACACAUGCAAGUCGAACGAGUGGCGGACGGGUGAGUAAUGUCUGGGAAACUGCCUGAUGGAGGGGGAUAACUACUGGAAACGGUAGCUAAUACCGCAUACCAUCAGAUGUGCCCAGAUGGGAUUAGCUAGUUGGUGGGGUAACGGCUCACCAAGGCGACGAUCCCUAGCUGGUCUGAGAGGAUGACCAUCCACACUGAAGCUAGGACACGGGCCAGAAUCCUACGGAAGGCCGCAGGGGGGAAUAUUGCACAAUGGGCGCAAGCCUGAUGCAGCCAUGCCGCGUGUAUGAAGAAGGCCUUCGGGUUGUAAAGUACUUUCAGCGGGGAGACGUUACCCGCAGAAGAAGCACCGGCUAACUCCGUGCCAGCCGCCGCGGUAAUAC
rnacentral:rRNA from 1 species